GUGCACAUUUCAUUGUCUUUUUUUUCUUCACAUCAAGAGAAAAGAUAUUUCUGAUGUGCUAAAUAAACCUGGGGGAAUAUUAGCAGCAUGGUUACUUUAACCAGUGUUGUCAGCCACCUCAGACAAAGAU
rnacentral:snoRNA from 1 species